CGGCGGACGGGUGAGUAAUGCCUAGGAAUCUGCCUGGUAGUGGGGGACAACGUUUCGAAAGGAACGCUAAUACCGCAUACGUCCUACGGGAGAAAGCAGGGGACCUUCGGGCCUUGCGCUAUCAGAUGAGCCUAGGUCGGAUUAGCUAGUUGGUGAGGUAAUGGCUCACCAAGGCGACGAUCCGUAACUGGUCUGAGAGGAUGAUCAGUCACACUGGAACUGAGACACGGUCCAGACUCCUACGGGAGGCAGCAGGG
rnacentral:rRNA from 1 species